UGCCCCGAGGCUAGAGACUCUCCCCUCAAACUGGAGGCUUCUGUUAGAGACUGGACCUGACCUUCGGCUGAGCUAAGCCACACAGCCACAUGGAAGGCGUCAUCCCGUGCCAGCUUAUCUGGAUUUUACAGUGGGAGCCUGAGUCAUCCAACGAUGGCAACAGCGGUCAUGUUAAAACUCACAGAGCGUGAGCCAAAGGCCAGACCUUUUGAGUCCUCUCCAUAUAUGGAGUCUAAUCUGAAAACCACAGCCAGGAAGUAUGAUUCUCACAGCCUGCGGGUAGACAUGUGUACCUUACGCCACAGCCUUGUCCUAACAGACAGAGCUAGCCACGUCCCUUUAAGAUGAGUAAAAUGUACAUCAGUACGAA
rnacentral:sRNA from 1 species